AUUGAACGCUGGCGGCAGGCCUAACACAUGCAAGUCGAGCGAGCGGCGGACGGGUGAGUAAUGCCUGGGAAUUGCCCAGUCGAGGGGGAUAACAGUUGGAAACGACUGCUAAUACCGCAUACGAUUGGAUUGCCCAGGUGGGAUUAGCUAGUUGGUGAGGUAAUGGCUCACCAAGGCGACGAUCCCUAGCUGGUCUGAGAGGAUGAUCAGCAACACGGGAACUGAGACACGGUCCAGGCUACGACGGCAGGCAGCAGUGGGGAAUAUUGCACAGUGGGGGAAACCCUGAUGCAGCCAUGGCGCGUGUGUGAAGAAGGCCCUCGGGUUGGAAAGAAAUUUCAGCGAGGAGGCGUUACUCGCAGAAGAAGCACCGGCUAACUCCGUGCCAGCCGCCGCGGUAAUUC
rnacentral:rRNA from 1 species